rnacentral:rRNA from 1 species
CCGGCUCCGUAUGAGCGCUAGCUACAGGCUUAACACAUGCAAGUCGAGGUGCAGCAUGGUCUUAGCUUGCUAAGGCCGAUGGCGACCGGCGCACGGGUGAGUAACACGUAUCCAACCUGCCGUCUACUCUUGGACAGCCUUCUGAAAGGAAGAUUAAUACAAGAUGGCAUCAUGAGUCCGCAUGUUCACAUGAUUAAAGGUAUUCCGGUAGACGAUGGGGAUGCGUUCCAUUAGAUAGUAGGCGGGGUAACGGCCCACCUAGUCUUCGAUGGAUAGGGGUUCUGAGAGGAAGGUCCCCCACAUUGGAACUGAGACACGGUCCAAACUCCUACGGGAGGCAGCAGUGAGGAAUAUUGGUCAAUGGGCGAGAGCCUGAACCAGCCAAGUAGCGUGAAGGAUGACUGCCCUAUGGGUUGUAAACUUCUUUUAUAAAGGAAUAAAGUCGGGUAUGGAUACCCGUUUGCAUGUACUUUAUGAAUAAGGAUCGGCUAACUCCGUGCCAGCAGCCGCGGUAAUACGGAGGAUCCGAGCGUUAUCCGGAUUUAUUGGGUUUAAAGGGAGCGUAGAUGGAUGUUUAAGUCAGUUGUGAAAGUUUGCGGCUCAACCGUAAAAUUGCAGUUGAUACUGGAUAUCUUGAGUGCAGUUGAGGCAGGCGGAAUUCGUGGUGUAGCGGUGAAAUGCUUAGAUAUCACGAAGAACUCCGAUUGCGAAGGCAGCCUGCUAAGCUGCAACUGACAUUGAGGCUCGAAAGUGUGGGUAUCAAACAGGAUUAGAUACCCUGGUAGUCCACACGGUAAACGAUGAAUACUCGCUGUUUGCGAUAUACAGCAAGCGGCCAAGCGAAAGCGUUAAGUAUUCCACCUGGGGAGUACGCCGGCAACGGUGAAACUCAAAGGAAUUGACGGGGGCCCGCACAAGCGGAGGAACAUGUGGUUUAAUUCGAUGAUACGCGAGGAACCUUACCCGGGCUUAAAUUGCAGAUGAAUUACGGUGAAAGCCGUAAGCCGCAAGGCAUCUGUGAAGGUGCUGCAUGGUUGUCGUCAGCUCGUGCCGUGAGGUGUCGGCUUAAGUGCCAUAACGAGCGCAACCCUUGUUGUCAGUUACUAACAGGUUCCGCUGAGGACUCUGACAAGACUGCCAUCGUAAGAUGUGAGGAAGGUGGGGAUAACGUCAAAUCAGCACGGCCCUUACGUCCGGGGCUACACACGUGUUACAAUGGGGGGUACAGAGGGCCGCUACCACGCGAGUGGAUGCCAAUCCCCAAAACCUCUCUCAGUUCGGACUGGAGUCUGCAACCCGACUCCACGAAGCUGGAUUCGCUAGUAAUCGCGCAUCAGCCACGGCGCGGUGAAUACGUUCCCGGGCCUUGUACACACCGCC